rnacentral:rRNA from 1 species
AACGAACGCUGGCGGCAGGCUUAACACAUGCAAGUCGAACGCAUCCUUCGGGGUGAGUGGCAGACGGGUGAGUAACGCGUGGGAACGUGCCCGUCAGUUCGGGAUAACCCAGGGAAACUUGGGCUAAUACCGGAUACGUGCGAGAGCAGAAAGAUUUAUCGCUGAAGGAUCGGCCCGCGUCUGAUUAGCUAGUUGGUGGGGUAAUGGCCCACCAAGGCGACGAUCAGUAGCUGGUCUGAGAUGAUGAUCAGCCACAUUGGGACUGAGACACGGCCCAAACUCCUACGGGAGGCAGCAGUGGGGAAUAUUGGACAAUAGGCGCAAGCCUGAUCCAGCCAUGCCGCGUGAGUGAUGAAGGCCUUAGGGUUGUAAAGCUCUUUCGUCCGGGACGAUAAUGACGGUACCGGAAGAAGAAGCCCCGACUAACUUCGUGCCAGCCGCCGCCGUAAAAC